AUUGAACGCUGGCGGCAGGCCUAACACAUGCAAGUCGAGCGGAUGAGUGGAGCUUGCUCCAUGAUUCAGCGGCGGACGGGUGAGUAAUGCCUAGGAAUCUGCCUGGUAGUGGGGGACAACGUUUCGAAAGGAACGCUAAUACCGCAUACGUCCUACGGGAGAAAGUGGGGAUCUUCGGACCUCACGCUAUCAGAUGAGGCUAGGUCGGAUUAGCUAGUUGGGGAGGUAAAGGCUCACCAAGGCGACGAUCCGUAACUGGUCUGAGAGGAUGAUCAGUCACACUGGAACUGAGACACGGUCCAGACUCCUACGGGAGGCAGCAGUGGGGAAUAUUGGACAAUGGGCGAAAGCCUGAUCCAGCCAUGCCGCGUGUGUGAAGAAGGUCUUCGGAUUGUAAAGCACUUUAAGUUGGGAGGAAGGGCAGUAAGUUAAUACCUUGCUGUUUUGACGUUACCAACAGAAUAAGCACCGGCUAACUUCGUGCCAGCCGCCGCAGUAAAAC
rnacentral:rRNA from 1 species